UACGUAGGUGGCAAGCGUUGUCCGGAUUUACUGGGCGUAAAGGGCGUGCAGGCGGUUUGUUAAGUGCAGGGUGAAAGCUCCCGGCUCAACUGGGAGAGGUCCUUGCAUACUGGCGAACUCGAGGGAGGCAGAGGAAAGUGGAAUUCCCGGUGUAGUGGUGAUAUGCGUAGAUAUCGGGAGGAACACCUGUGGCGAAGGCGGCUUUCUGGGCCUUACCUGACGCUGAGACGCGAAAGCGUGGGGAACGAACCGG
rnacentral:rRNA from 1 species